rnacentral:rRNA from 1 species
UACGUAGGUGGCAAGCGUUGUCCGGAUUUAUUGGGUUUAAAGGGUGCGUAGGCGGCUUUAUAAGUCAGUGCUGAAAUAUCCCGGCUUAACCGGGAGGGUGGCAUUGAUACUGCAGAGCUUGAGUGAAGUCGAGGUAGGCGGAAUUGACGGUGUAGCGGUGAAAUGCUUAGAUAUCGUCAAGAACACCAAUAGUGAAGACAGCUUACUAGACUUCAACUGACGCUGAGGCACGAAAAGUGUGGGGGAUCAAAACAGG